rnacentral:rRNA from 1 species
UCCUACGGGGGGCAGCAGUGGGGAAUAUUGCACAAUGGGGGGAACCCUGAUGCAGCGACGCCGCGUGGGUGAAGGAGUACUUCGGUACGUAAAGCCCUAUCGGCAGGAAAGAAAAUGACGGUACCUGACUAAGAAGCCCCGGCUAACUACGUGCCAGCAGCCGCGGUAAUACGUAGGGGGCAAGCGUUAUCCGGAUUCACUGGGUGUAAAGGGAGCGUAGACGGCAGGGCAAGUCCGGAG